CAAAAGCCAAAAUGAUCUGAACAAUCACAAAUAUCUUUGCUACAGAUUCUGCAGAUCUCCUGCAACACACAAGUGGAUUUACACACAAGUGGAGGGAACUUUACACGUUGGGUACUGUUGGAAGAAAUAUCCUUCUGGGUUCAGUUCCAAGUGGGGAAAAAGACACUGGAAACAUGGAGACUGUUUGGAAAGACGGUUUAAUGGUGGACAGGAUCACAUGGUUUGAGUUCCUGAACAGAAAAGGGUUGAGAUGCUGA